GUGCGGUAAGAGCGCACCGCAGAACUGGUGACAGUUCUGGCAGGGUAAACCCCACCGGGAGCAAGACCAAGCAGGGCGGAUUCGACUUCGGUCGAAACGGUGCGGUCCGUGCCGUAUGUGCUUGCACAUGCACGCCCGGGUAGGUCGCGACGAGGCGUCUGAGCAAUCAGCGCCCCAGAGAAAUGAUCGCCCCCGACAGAACCCGGCUUACCGGCCCACUCCGGAA
rnacentral:RNase_P_RNA from 1 species